GGGGAACAACAGCUGGAAACGGCUGCUAAUACCCCAUAGGCUGAGGAGCAAAAGGAGGAAUCCGCCCAAGGAGGGGCUCGCGUCUGAUUAGUUAGUUGGUGAGGCAAUGGCUUACCAAGGCGACGAUCAGUAGCUGGUCCGAGAGGAUGAUCAGCCACACUGGGACUGAGACACGGCCCAGACUCCUACGGGAGGCAGCAGUGGGGAAUUUUCCGCAAUGGGCGAAAGCCUGACGGAGCAAUGCCGCGUGAAGGCAGAAGGCCCACGGGUCAUGAACUUCUUUUCUCGGAGAAGAAAAAAUGACGGUAUCUGAGGAAUAAGCAUCGGCUAACUCUGUGCCAGCCGCCGCGGUAAGACAGAGGAUGCAACCGUUAUCCGGAAUGAUUGGGCGUAAAGCGUCUGUAGGUGGCUUUUCAAGU
rnacentral:rRNA from 1 species